rnacentral:rRNA from 1 species
GUGAGUAAUGCCUAGGAAAUUGCCCUGAUGUGGGGGAUAACCCUUGGAAACCAUGGCUAAUACCCCCUGAUGCCUACGGGCCCAAGAGGGGGACCCUCCGGCCCCCCCCCUCCGGAUAUGCCUAGGUGGGAUUAGCUAGUUGGUGAGGUAAGGGCUCCCCCAGGCCACCAUCCCUAGCUGGUCUGAGAGGAUGAUCCGCCCCCCUGGAACUGAGACCCCGUCCCGACUCCUACGGGAGGCCGCCGUGGGGAAUAUUGCACAAUGG